rnacentral:lncRNA from 1 species
CGAUGAAUAGACUCCAAAGAAUGUCACGCCCUGUUUGGUGGUUCUAAGUCUUUCCACCUAAAAAGAAAUCAAACAUCAUAUAAGACACCAAUUAACAAAAAUAAGCAAUAAAAUCACCAAAGUCAUGGAUUUUACCUUAUCGUGGAAUGAAACUAUAAUUACUUUAUGAUAUAUUUGUCAAAGAAUAUGCACAAUUGCAUAAAAAUACUUGUUAAUCGCAACCAUACUCUUUCUCCAAUCUAUGGAUUAGCUAUGUAAUGCUACACAUACAGUGCAUAAAAAUGCUUACACUAUUUUAAACACUUCCAGAACAUAAAAACUAUCCAAGAGGAUAUGCAAAUAGUAGUACAAUUGUAUUGAGAAUAAAAAAUUAACAUACAUGUUUAUUCAAAUCUUAAACAAGUGCUAGGUGUGGCUGAGGAAUUUAAUCCGACCCAAAAAAAGGAACGUGAACCACAAAUAAAAAGGAACAUGUUACAGACAGAUUUAAAUGCUUACCUGAGUUUUCAUGGUUCUAUCUCAACAACAGGAACAUGUUUCAUAUUGUAUGGUUGAAACAUAUAGCUUUAAGUCGUUUUGCAACCUAUGCACAUACCAACGGAAAAUGUCAUGUGUGAAUGCGUAGAAGGGGUGUAUUGAAUCAAGGCCACUGUUAAGAAAAUUUGCAAUGUCAAGUUAGACAACAAGCCAAAACAUAGCACUGUAACAAAA